rnacentral:lncRNA from 1 species
UUUUAGACACCUUUACACUUUCUUUUGCUUCUAACUAGCAAGGAUUUUUCCAAACAAGCUUUUAAUUAGCAGGCUAGCUUCUUGACCUGACUGGCCAUUGGUGCCCUUCAUUUAAUGCACCUCACAGCCUGGGAUCUUGACUCCUCUCCAUCCUGAAAAUCUGAAGUGAUUGCUUCUACAACUCUUGGACUUCAGUCUCCUGGACCUUUAACCUCAUGCUUUGACAAUUUCCACGUGGGCUACAACGAAGCAAGCAGUCGAACAGUUACUGUACAUCAAGGAGGUACUAAUGGCUGUAGCUGAAACACCUGCUAACCUGCUAUUGUAAGCAUUUAUCCAGUAUUUGCCUGCGGCAGAAAUAAAUGAAUAAAUAAACUUUCA